rfam:Halomonas sp. PBN3 contig32, whole genome shotgun sequence.
ACUUGUCGCCAGGGGAGUCCCGCCGCAUCCGCGGGGGCUGAGAGGGCCAAGCGCCGACCCUGGAACCUGAUCCGGUUAAUACCGGCGGAGGAAGUGCGACAUGCCUUACCU